CACAGCUCUUCAGGGAGGAGGAGGAGGAGGCUGAGGGCCGGCCCACGGUCUCUGGCAGAACAGUGGACUAUGGAGACAGAAGCCAGGUUGGGACGAGCUGAGGAGACAGAUGGUGGUAACUGGGGAGACAAAAGAUUCUGCUCCUGAGUGCCAGCUGGAGACCCAGGGACACCAUGGGACCAGUCUCCCAGGCAUGAGGAAGGGCUGCCCAGUCCACAAACAGGAAGCAGAAUUCUGCAGAGGACUUCCUUCCCUCCCUCAAGGCAACAUGUUAACAGUGCUGUAUCUCUGAAAAUAGCUACCUUCGAAACUACAGUCAUCGUGUUCUCAUCAGUCCUGUCCUUGCUGCCGGUUUAACUAAGGAAAGGAAAAGAAAGAAAGGGAGAACUGAAAUCCAGGGUUGCUAUCAAGAAAACACAAUUUUACCCAGUUCCAGGCAAAUUCGGAUCUUUCAGGUUUAAAGCCACUGAAGCUUCCCUACGCUGAAGGCCCCGCACUUUUCUGGGGUCCAUCAUGGUACCAUCGGAAACCUCCAGCCCCCGCUCUUCGUCUUCACCCAGGACAUAGUCCACCCACAUGGUUGCAGAGAAAGUCCCUGUGUGAGUAGAGAAUGAUCUAGCCUACUCCUCUGUUGACUGGUCCAGAAUCCUGCAGGCAGCAUCUUCCUCUGGGACUUUGGAAGUGGCAUGGGGAAAGAGAAGUCAGUGUGGUUUGAACUUCAAG